rnacentral:rRNA from 1 species
ACUCCUACGGGAGGCAGCAGUAGGGAAUCUUCCACAAUGGGCGCAAGCCUGAUGGAGCAACACCGCGUGAGUGAAGAAGGGUUUCGGCUCGUAAAGCUCUGUUGUUAAAGAAGAACACGUAUGAGAGUAACUGUUCAUACGUUGACGGUAUUUAACCAGAAAGUCACGGCUAACUACGUGCCAGCAGCCGCGGUAAUACGUAGGUGGCAAGCGUUAUCCGGAUUUAUUGGGCGUAAAGAGAGUGCAGGCGGUUUUCUAAGUCUGAUGUGAAAGCCUUCGGCUUAACCGGAGAAGUGCAUCGGAAACUGGAUAACUUGAGUGCAGAAGAGGGUAGUGGAACUCCAUGUGUAGCGGUGGAAUGCGUAGAUAUAUGGAAGAACACCAGUGGCGAAGGCGGCUACCUGGUCUGCAACUGACGCUGAGACUCGAAAGCAUGGGUAGUGAACA